AUACGAAGGUCCCAAGCGUUAUUCGGAAUCACUGGGCGUAAAGAGUACGUAGGCGGUUUGGUAAGUCAGGUGUGAAAUCCCGAAGCUCAACUUCGGAACUGCAUCCGAUACUGCCAGACUAGAGUAAUGGAGAGGCAGGUGGAAUUCUCGGUGCAGCAGUGAAAUGCGUGGAUAUCGAGAGGAAGACCAAUGGCGAAGGCAGCCUGCUGGACAUUUACUGACGCUGAGGUACGAAGGCUAGGGGAGCGAAAGGGAUUAGAAACCCCAGUAGUCC
rnacentral:rRNA from 1 species